rnacentral:lncRNA from 1 species
UGACGUUUAUGGAGGCCUGGAGCUGAGCACCUCAAACGCUAUCCGGUCCUGCAGAGCUCAGAGCUCGGGAACAGCUUCGGAGAGGCCCAUUUACAAAUGAAGAAUGGUGGUAAGCCUGAGUGUUGGAGGCCCUGUCCAACAUCUGCCCCAAAUCCGUGGCGUGUGGUGUCUCCAGAGGCUGCGGCAGGAAAUGGAAAGAGCUGCUGUGG